rnacentral:hammerhead_ribozyme from 1 species
GUACUGCUGAAGAGUCCCAGUAACUAGGACAAAACGGCUGUCCAGUAC